ensembl:lncRNA
UUGAAACUUAGCCAGCUCUGUUGGUCUAGUGGUUGAUUUGGUGCUCUCACCACCACGGCUGGGGUUCGUUUCCCGGUCAGGGAACCACACUAACCAUCAGUUGUUUGUCAUCCUGUGGUGGCUGCGUGUUGCUGUGAUUUUGAAAGCUAUGCCUCCAGUAUUUCAAAUACCAGCAGGGUCACCCACAGUGGACAGGUUUUGGAGAAGCUUCCAGACUAAGACAGACUCAGAAGAAAGACCUAGCCGCCCACUUCCGAAAAAUUGGCCAUGAAAACCCUAUGAAUAGCAGCGGAGCAUUGUCUGAUAUAGAGCUGGAAGGUGAGCGGAUGGAGCAAAAAGACCGGGCAGGGUUCCGCUGUGUUCUACACCGGGGCGCCUAGGAGUCGGAAUUGAUUCAGUGUCCCUAACAACAGUGAAACUUAGUAUGAUUUGUGUGUGUGUGUGUGUGUGUGUGUGUGUAAACAAAUGAAAAUUUCCUCCGUUUAAAAAUGCUGCUUGGUAAAAAGGACAAAUAUGAACUUCAAAGAAAAUGCUUUGCUAUCAGAGAAAAUCUCCUGAGUGACUAAGUUCUCACUGCACCUGUGUCUGCCAUUGGCUGUGACAGAGGCCGCAAAAGUCAGUCUCAAAGCGGAACUUCAGAAGGUGAAAUUCUGAAAGGCAUUUUCCUGUGCAUUAACUCUCACAUCUUUCUGAAGGAUAAGCUGCAAAUUUUCAGAUAUGCUACAUCCUUGCUAAGUGUCUGAUUAUCUCCAUUGCCUAGGGGAAGGAAUAGUCUUUGUUGCUAUCCCUAACGAUUACUGUGAAUUGUUCUGUUGUAUUAUCUUAAAGAGUAAAGCCUUUAAGUACUAAUAAUUGUCUUUUCUCACUGAUAGAAGCUGAAAGAUGCAGCUAUUUAUUCUCUUAGCAUUUUUUCUAUGUUUCCACAAUCUAGUAAUAGUUAUUGGACUUAAUCUGAAAGAUAAAUAAGCCUUACUUCUUCCUUUUAAUGUUUUUUUUCCUUUAAAUAGAAAAACCUGGGAAUUUUAGGAAGGAAAAUGUCAAUUCAACUAAGAAAAAAGAUGAACCUUUGAACCAAGAGUGAGUUCUCCUGGUUCCACUACUAAUUAAAACUUGUUUAAGUCAUUUAUCCUUGGAGCUCGGUUUUCUUACCUGUAAGGUGAUGAAGGGGUUAAGUUAGAAUGAUCCUUUAAUGUUCCAACAUUUCUAUAAUUGUAUAAUUGAUUAAUGUGGAAGAUCAGGAAGUUGUAGGCAGCAGAGUCGUGUUGUGACUUCAAAGAUUAAACCUGUGAUUAAAAAUCUGGGACAAAUAGAGAAUUCUCAUUAUUGUGUUCAUUUUCUAAUAAUAGCUCUAUGAGCUAUAAUUCACAUACUAUAAAAUUCACCCUUUGAAACUAAUUAUAAAUUAUUUCAUCACUCCUGAGAGAAAUCCCAUACCCGUUAGCGAUCACUUCCACUCCCCUCUCUCGCCCAGCCCCUGGCAACUACUGAUCUGCUUUCUGUUUCUAUGCCUAUUCUGGACAUUUCAUAUAAACACAAUCGUACAUUAUGUGACCUUUUGUGUCUGGCUUCUUUCCCUUAGCAUAUUUUCAGGGUUCAUGCCUGUUGUAACAGGUAUCAGUACUUCCAUUUCUUUUUGUUACUAAAUAAUAAUCCAUUGUAUGGAUAUACCACAUUUUGUUCAUUCAUUCAGUUGAUAGUCAUUUUCAUUGUCUUCACUUUUGAGAUAUUAUGAAAAAUGCUGGUAUGAACAUUUGUGUACAAGUUUUUGUGAGAACAUGUUUUCAUUUCUCUUUAGUAUACCCCCAGCAGUGGAAUUGCUGGAUCAGGUGGAAACUGUAUGUUUAGCAUUUUGAGAAACUGCCAAACUGUUUUCCAAAGCGACAUGCUUGUGUUUAUUUUUAUCUUACCUUAAGAUCUUAGGCCAGUUACACCCUCCAGCAUUCAUCCGCCCAUUCAUCACGUGCUUGCUGAGCACUGUGUGAGAUGUAGAGGCUAUAAAAUGUAAAAAUGUAUCUUCCCACAAGCGUGAAGAGUCUAUUGAGAGAGACAAAUUACCAGUGUAUUUCAACAUUUGCAGUGGUUUGGUAACUUGUAUGAUAUGAGAAUGUAAGAAUGGUGAUAGGGCCACAGAACUUGCAAAAGCAUGAAAAUGAGAGAGCGUGAUUGUUCAGGAAACUUCAAGCGCUUUAGCUGCAGAUGGUGGGCGGGGUUGCAAACGCUUCGGAGGAUAUUGAUGAGUGCAGUACGAGAACCACAAAGAGAAUGACAGGCCUGGAGCAGCAUUAGGAAAGGUGACCUUUGAGCUGGACGUUGAAGAACUUUCGAGAAUAGGAAAUCAAGAUGGAAUAAACUAAAUAUUGAGCAGGUUUUAUGAGGGUGGAGGUGAGGUCGAAGGAAGUGUACAAUAAUGUUAAAAAUCUAGAACUUGGAAGAACUCAAGAAUAGAAAAUGGAUUUGUGAAGUCAGAUAAAAAUAAUGAAGUCCGAUAGCAAUAAAUGAAAACUCUCUGUUGUUCUUGCCCUAGUUUGCAUGUGGCCAUAAUAGGCAUCCUGAGAGGAGCAGACCCCAGGCACCUGCACGCUUUGCUUAUUGUUGGGACCCUGGGGGUAGCAAGUUAGUGUGAGGGCUGCCCUUCUAGGAAUUAAGAAGUAUCUUCUCCCAAUCCCAGAUUUUCUGACUAGCUAGAAAUUCAUGGACAAAAUGAAGAGGUAAAGGAAAACCCAAAUUUUUGUUAUUGAGUUGUUAAGAGGGUAUUAUUUAUCUCUGAAUGAUAUACUUUGAAUUUAACUAUAUAGAAUUCCUUAGACAACCAGAACUUGUGACUAUUCAUCCAUUUAACAAAUAUUAUUGAAAGGGUGGUCUGUUCCAGGCAAUCUGCAACGUACUGACUGGUCACCCAGAGAUCGACAAACACAGUUCCUGACCCCAGUCUUGGGGGGAUUGACAUUUACUGAUCACAGUGACAGAAGUGCUAUAGUAGUUGAUAGAAAUGCUGGAAGGACAAAAGGCAGUCCCAAUUACUUCUUCUUAGAGACGUCACAUGCUCCAGAGAGGGAUGAUAAUCGAAAUUAGCUGAUGUUCUAUAGGCCUGGAUAGCAUGAGCCUUAGAAAAUCACUUAGUAGGUUUGUAGAGUAGGAGCGAAAUAACCCAACACAGAACAGAUAUGAGCCAACAAACUGCCACAGCUCCCUUACUCUCUAAAGGUUGAUGAAGUUAGUUAAGAAGCUCUUACUGUCUUUACCAAAAAUAACUCUGCUUUUGAGGGAAAAAAGGUAUAUCUAUAAGAUAUUGAAGAAAGUGCAUUUUGCUGUACUUCUAUAGAUCACCUCCACAAAAGUACUGAACGUGAGUUAGUGAGAUAAACCAGGGUCUGAACUCAAGGACUUUACUUUGACCAUUGGUGGAGGGUCACACAAGUAAACAAUGAUGGUAUAAUCUAUGGAGUCCCUCAGUUUUACUCUAUGUUCUGUGUAGGAUCUUUGAGCACGGGUGUAUUUCUUCAUCUGUGUAUCCCUAGCAUCACAAUCUGGGCACAUCUUUAUCACAGCCCUUAACAAACUGAAUUAACAAUUACUUGCCUAUGUGUCUUUUUCUGCUGAUCUAGGAUCUUGUUCACCUCUGCAUCCAUGGCAGGCAGUAGGUGUACAACGUUUGUUAAGUGACUACAUGACAGAAAAAUACAUGAAGGGCCUCUAAAAACAGUGCAAAGCCUAACUCUAUCUGGAUGUAAAAAAUAAGAAGACCUAACAAGACUGUUGCUAUCAGCCUAGUCUAUCUAUACCUGUAGACCAAAGAGAUAAAGUGGAAAAGAUGAGAGAAAAAUCUUCGUUGUACAGUGGUCCUCAAGAAGAAAGAAAUGGUUCCUCAGUUGAGAGGGUUAGCGUUUUUGUAGUGAAAUCUAUUUUUCAAGAGUACUUUUAAAUUAAGAAAAAAGUCAUAUAAUAUGAUGGCCUGCCUUUUUGUUUGUCUGUUACUUGGCUGACCAACUAAGAUACACAGCGUCAGGUGACCAGGGCCAGCUCCUAAACUGCUCCUGCACUGGGCGAUAAGUGCAGAGUUAGGCAAUGGACCAGGAAGCAAUUGCCUGCAGUUGUUUCUAGCGUCUUGUAUUCCAAUGCAGUGUAAAUCCCUUCUAUGAAAUGCAAAUUUCUUAGUUCCCAAGGUAAGCUUAAAUAUUUUCUUUCCCAAUGUCUUAUCUUUUGUCACUCACAAAGCAGUACAUUUUUAACUGAAGGACUGAAUAAUUCUCUAUCUUCUAGCUUUCACAUGUAACCAACCUACUCAAUCUAGACACUAUGGCUCUCCUGAAUAAUUGGGAAUUAGUAUGUAAAUAUUUAAGCAAAACUGUCCCAAUGAAAUAGUCUUUUUCUUCUUUUUUACUAAUUUCUUAAAUCUUAGUACGUUGCAUUCAAGCUGUGAUAAUUCACCUAAAUGAACCUGAUGGGAGAGAAUGGAUUCUGCUCUCAUUUGUACAGCAUGUGAAUGUUUGCAGGUUUUUGGGGGGGAAGUUGUUUUUUGGUUUUUUUACUUUCCAUCCCCACCUUAGUGUCAUUUUUAAAGUUCUUAAAACAAGGGAAUUAAAAUAAUAUUUCUUAAGGACUACCAUCUAUACUUGACAAUUUACCUACGUUAUCUUAUUUGAGCCUCACAGCAGCUCUGUGAGCUUGGGCAGGCAUAAGUAACCUCAGUGUUACAAACUAGGUAACUAAGGAUCAAGCCACUGUGGUUGGCCAGUGAUAGACACAGCCAGUAAAGAGUAAAGCUUGGAUUUGAAUCUAACCCCAACUCUGCCUCUCAAAUAGAUAAGUGGCUAAAAAACUCAGCUUGUAACAGUUCAUAAGUUUUUAAUGGUGGAGCUGUGAUCUCUUCAGAGAAAACCUCAGUGGAUUGCACUGUAAAUUGAACAUUAAUGCGGUAAAACCUAGGGCAAAUCUCCAACAUCCAAACACUAACAAUGAUUAAAGAGAUCAUCUCGUGAACUAAGGGAGAAGUCGGUGGAAGUGUAUGAAAGGAAUAUCACUGCAGAUUUAUGUUAACUGACGCGAGAGUUCAUGGUGAUCAGUGUUGAUCAUGGGGUAGUUCCAGAUAAACGACUGAUGAUGUGCUUUCUGUGGAGCAUUGUUACCCAACCGCACAUUCAAGCAUCACUCCAUUUCUUUAAACGGCCUUAUUAAGGUAUCAUUGAUACACAAAGAACUGCACAUAUUGAAUAUGUGCAAGUUGAUGAGUUUGGGCAUAUGCAGACACCUGUGAAACGGUCACCACAGUCAAGGUCAUAGACAUAACCCAACACUCCCAGAGUUUCCUUGUGUCCCUUGUUUCGUUUGGUAACUAUAGGUACCCUGCUGUACAGUAGUUCUGUAGGACUUAGUCAUCUUAUAUAACUGAAACUUUGUUAUUAACAAAUAAAAGAGAUAUUAUCAGAUCCACAACUUACAAAUAUUUUCUCCAUGCCUCUUCAUUCUGUUGCCUUUUCAUUCUGUUGGUGAUUUCCUUUGCUACGCAGAAGCUUUUUAAUUUAAUGUGCUUCCACUUGUCUAUUUUUGCUUUUGUUGCCUGUGCUUUUGGUGUUAUAUCCAAGAAAUCAUUGCCAAGACCAACAUCGAGAAGCUUUUCCCCUAUGUUUUCUAUUAGGAGUUUUACAGUUCCAGGUCUUAAUCUACUUUGAGUUGAUUUUUGCGUAUGGUGUGAGUUAGGGGUCCAAUUUCAUUUUUCUGCACGUGGAUAUCCAGUUUUCCCAACACCAUUUGUUAAAGAGACUAUCCUUUCCCCAUUGUAUCUUCUUGACACCCUUGUCAAAGAUCAGUUGACCAUAUGUGUGUUGCUUUAUUUCUGGGCUAUUCUGUUCCAUUGCCAUAUGUCCAUCUUUAUGCCAGUACGAUACUGCGUUAAUUACCGUGGCUUUGUGAUUCAGCUUGAAAUCAGGAAGUGUGAUGGCUCCAGCUUUCUUCUUCUUUCUUAAGAUCACGUUAGCUAUUCUGGGUCUUUUGUGGUUGCAUAUGACUUUUAUGAUUUUUUUUUCUAUUUCUGUAAAAAAUACUAUUGGGAUAAUAAACAAAAGAGAGCAUAGGUGGUUAUAUUAAUAUAAAACAAAAUAGACUUUAAGUCAAAUACUGUCACAAGCAUCACUACAUUUCUGUUGCAGAAAAAAUUUAAAGAAGUUUAACUUUCUGAGUUUAUGAUAUAGUUCAGAAAUAAGGUGAGAGAAAACCUUUAAUGUCUUUGAACAUAUGUAAUAGAAUCAAAAAUAAGUGGAUCCUGUUAGAGGCUUCCUUUUAUCAAUGAAACUCAUUCUUCACGGGAGUUUCUGUUUGUGUGUUUGUUUUUUAGUAAAAUUAGUGAUAUAUGCAAACAAAGUGCUGAAGAAAGAUUUAAGUAUAUAUAGGUUUUCAGAAAGUUCUACUUUCAGGAGAUUGACAGCAACAUUGUAUAGUAGAAAAAGCACUUCCUUCACAACUUUUCUGAACCUCAUUUUUUCUACCUGUGGAAUUGGAUAUUAAUAAACAUUGCCCUCCAUUCCUCAGAGAAAUACUAGGAUUAAAUAGAAAAUAAUUGUGGACAUUGUUUCACAUAUGUUAGGCACUGUCAUAUUGUUUUUUGGAAAUGAUCUGGGAAAAGGAAUUUGCAAUCUGAAAAAUAUUUCCUCUGGCAUAAUAGCAGUACUGUUGGUUCUAGAGUUGAAUAGACGUCAGAUUUCUUUCUCUGAAUUUGUCACCUCUGUGUUACUUAACCUUUCUGAACUUGUUUUCUCCUUUGUAAAAAGGAAGAUAUUUUCAUAGGGUGGUUGUGAUCAUUUAAACAGUUGAUGCCUGCAUCACAGACAAUGCACAGUGCUCAGUAAGGGUAACUAUAAUCACUAAAAUUCCAAGUCAAUAUAGAGGUAAUAUUCUGGAAGAUCUUAAGGCUCUGAUUAGGGGGAAAAUGCGAUAUGAGCUAUAUGAAUAAAUAUUUUAAAAUUUCAAAAUUAUUUUAAGACAUGAGACCAAGUUAUCCGGAUUAUUUGGUAUGGCUCUUAAAUUUACUAAUUAUUUGAUUUCUGUAGGUUGUGCAGUAUUGUGGAAAGAGCCACAUAAGCCUGGGUUUGAAUUCUGUACUGUGGUGCUAUCUGGAGAUACUGACCUUUAAUUUUAUUAUUCAUUAAAUGGGAGUGGUACUACCUAGGAUGGUUACAAUGAAGAAUAUGUUAGGUAAAUGAUGCAAAGUGACUGGCGUUGUACCUGACAAAUAGUAGAUGCUUAAAAUACAUACAGAGGUUACUGAAAAUAAAUAAUUUUGUGUAUACAUGUGAUACAGAAAUAAUUUCCCUGUCAUCAGUUUCAUUGUUUUGUGCAUAAAUCCACCCAGGCAUAGACAGCUGCCUUAGCGUCAUUAUUUCUGUUGUUAGAAUCCUGUCUUCCUUGUGUACCUGUGCACUUUGGUGGAGGUUUAUGUAGAGCUCACAAGUGAAACUAAACAUAUGACGUAAGUCUCUGAGAAUAUUGUCCACUUAAACUUUAUGUGUGACUUCCCUCACUUGUUAAAGUAUUUUUGAAAUAAAAAUAAAUUUAGUUUGUGAGUAUGUCCUGUAAAGCCAGUUUCGAUCCUAGGAAGUUUAUUUGUCUUUUGUUUGCUUUGGAUUUAGCACAGUUAUGUUUUACAGAUUAACUAUAUUCUUUUGACUUGGAGGAAUAUUAGAGGUAGAAGUUAGAUUAAAUCACCCUAAAUCAAUAGAAGUAACGCUAGACCAUCUCAGCAGGUGAACAUCUCUGUAACUUUUAAGAAUUUGUAACGAAUGUGAUUGGACAACCGCAUUUUUCAGAAGAUUAUACUGUUCGACAGUAGUCACAGAGGUAUAUGUAUGUGUGUAUAUAUGUGUGUGCGUGCGUGAGCGCAUCUGUGUAUACACACUCAUGUAUCUACAUACACACAUGCACACACAUACAUACAUAGCUUUUUACAAGUAGGCUUAUCUCAGGUUUACCAGGUAAUUCUUUAGAAGUUUUAAAUUAAAAAUGUUUUAAUUACAAAAAUUUCCUUUAGAGAUCUCAACCUAAGAUAUAAAUAAUAUAAGUAAAAAUAUAUGAAUAAAUUUUAAAAUAUAUUUUUUGAAAUUGCUGGCUAAUGAGUAUUCUAUUUUAGCUAUUGCGUCUUACUGCAUAUGAAUUACUCACUGUCCAGAAAAAAAG